UACAGAGGUCUCAAGCGUUGUUCGGAUUCAUUGGGCGUAAAGGGUGUGUAGGUGGCGCCGUAAGUCGGGUGUGAAAUCUCGGGGCUUAACUCCGAAACUGCAUUCGAUACUGCGGUGCUUGAAGACUGGAGAGGAGACUGGAAUUCAUGGUGUAGCAGUGAAAUGCGUAGAGAUCAUGAGGAAGACCAGUGGCGAAGGCGGGUCUCUGGACAGUUCCUGACACUGAGAGACGAAGGCCAGGGGAGCAAACGGG
rnacentral:rRNA from 1 species